AGGGAGUAUCAAUAUUUCUCACACCGAGGCGGAUAACAGUAAGCUGAAUCAGACAGUGUUCAUCGGGAGGCUUGUUGGCCUGCUGCUGACACUGGCAUCUUUCCUAGCAGCUAUCUGCUUCGUCAGAAAGGGCUCAGAAACCAGCUGGCCAGGAGAAUACAGACCUUGAGUACUACAACCUUGGUGCCCCAACAGCAGAAAUGCCAAACACCCAAACAGGGACUGAGGCAACAGAUCUCUUAAGAGUUGCAAAUACAUUCGCUUGUUUUGUUGUUUUUCUUUUUUUCAAUUGAUAAGCCAUCACCACUAAAAAAUUCUUCCUUUGAAAAAAUAUUAAAAUAACACAUGAAGAACCUUUCACCAGUGGAAAACAAUUGGCACAUUGUAAAAUGGAAAAUCCAGCAAAGAUGAUACUCUACAGUUUAGCAGCUAGAAUCCCACAUCAAACAAGAAUGGGACAACAUUCCUCUCCCAAAUCUGGUCUCCUCACAUCCCAGACCUUAACAGACUGUUGUUAAAACAAGAGGGAAUGCUACACAAUGAUAAACACGGCCCUGUUCUUACUUUCUGAGAUGUGUUUCUGCCAUCAAAUUCAGAAUAAGCUAAUAUUGUUCAUGAAAUGUUCAAGUGUCUUAUUUCAACAUCUGUUCUUUUCAUUCUAUUGUGUAUGCAAUAUUUUUAUGAGGUUUGCUAAUUAUUGCAUUCUGUUUUUGUUUACAUUUUACACAGUGCCCCAACUAUUUUGGAUUUGGACUUGUGAUUUUAAAUGUAAAUGUUGUAUUUUUAUGUAAAGAGGGGUAUGUAACAUAGCAAUAUUAUGACUCUGGUAAAAAGUAAUUUUCCAGAAAUGGAGACUAGUAACCACUG